rnacentral:rRNA from 1 species
UACGUAGGGGGCAAGCGUUGUCCGGAUUUAUUGGGCGUAAAGAGCGUGUAGGCGGCCAGGUAGGUCCGUUGUGAAAACUCGAGGCUCAACCUCGAGCUGUCGAUGGAAACCAUCUGGCUAGAGUCCGGAAGAGGAGAGUGGAAUUCCCGGUGUAGCGGUGAAAUGCGCAGAUAUCGGGAGGAACACCGGUGGCGAAGGCGGCCAUCUGGACCGCAACUGACGCUGAGGCGCGAAAGCGUGGGGAGCAAACAGG